rnacentral:rRNA from 1 species
UGCCAGACUCCUACGGGAGGCAGCAGUGAGGAAUAUUGGUCAAUGGACGGAAGUCUGAACCAGCCAUGCCGCGUGCAGGAAGACGGCUCUAUGAGUUGUAAACUGCUUUUGUACAAGGGUAAACCUGAAUACGUGUAUUCAGCUGAAAGUACUGUACGAAUAAGGAUCGGCUAACUCCGUGCCAGCAGCCGCGGUAAUACGGAGGAUGCGAGCGUUAUCCGGAUUUAUUGGGUUUAAAGGGUGCGUAGGCGGCAUUAUAAGUUAGUGGUAAAAUAUUGGGGCUUCACCUCGCUACGCCAUUAAUACUGUAGAGCUAGAGAACAGACGAGGUAGGCGGAAUAAGUUAAGUAGCGGUGAAAUGCAUAGAUAUAACUUAGAACACCGAUAGCGAAGGCAGCUUACCAGACUGAGUCUGACGCUGAUGCACGAGAGCAUGGGUAGCGAACAGGAUUAGAUACCCUUGUAC